rnacentral:rRNA from 1 species
AAAAACAUGGCCUUUUGUUAAAAAUUUAAGGUCAGACCUGCUCAAUGAAUUUUAAAUAGCCGCAGUAUUUUGACUGUGCAAAGGUAGCAUAAUCAUUAGUUUUUUAAUUGAAAGCUGGAAUGAAGGGUUUAAUGAGAAAAUAGCUGUCUCUGUAAAAAUUUUUUAGAAUUUUAUUUUUAAGUAAGAAAGCUUAGAUUUUUAUAAAAGACGAGAAGACCCUAUAGAGUUUUAUAUUUAAAUUUAAUAUUUUUUUAGAAAUAUAAGUAUAAUAAAUUAAGAAUAUUUGGUUGGGGUGAUUAGAAAAUUUAUUAAACUUUUCUUUUAAAUUUUCAUUUAUUUAUGUAAAAAUGAUCCUUUAUUAAAGAUUAUAAGAUUAAAUUACCUUAGGGAUAACAGCGUAAUUUUUUUUGAGAGUUCUUAUCGAAAAAAAAGAUUGCGACCUCGAUGUUGGAUUAAAAUUAAUUUUUGGUGUAGAAGCUGGAAUAAUUAGGUCUGUUCGACCUUUAAAAUUUUACUUGAUCUGAGUU